rnacentral:rRNA from 1 species
GACGAACGCUGGCGGCGUGCCUAAUACAUGCAAGUAGAACGCACAGUUUAUACCGUAGCUUGCUACACCAUAGACUGUGAGUUGCGAACGGGUGAGUAACGCGUAGGUAACCUGCCUGGUAGCGGGGGAUAACUAUUGGAAACGAUAGCUAAUACCGCAUAAUAUUAAUUAUUGCAUGAUAAUUAAUUGAAAGGUGCAAUUGCACCACUACCAGAUGGACCUGCGUUGUAUUAGCUAGUAGGUGAGGUAACGGCUCACCUAGGCGACGAUACAUAGCCGACCUGAGAGGGUGAUCGGCCACACGGGGACUGAGACACGGCCCAGACUCCUACGGGAGGCAGCAGUAGGGAAUCUGCGGCAAUGGACGAAAGUCUGACCGAGCAACGCCGCGUGAGUGAAGAAGGUUUUCGGAUCGUAAAGCUCUGUUGUAAGAGAAGAACGGGUGUGAGAGUGGAAAGUUCACACUGUGACGGUAUCUUACCAGAAGGGGACGGCUAACUACG